ACUCCUACGGGAGGCAGCAGUAGGGAAUUUUCCGCAAUGGACGAAAGUCUGACGGAGCAAUGCCGCGUGAGUGAUGAAGGUUUUCGAAUCGUAAAGCUCUGUUGUUAAGGGAAGAAUAGCAAGAAUAGGAAAUGAUUCUUGUCUGACGGUACCUUACCAGAAAGCCACGGCUAACUACGUGCCAGCAGCCGCGGUAAUACGUAGGUGGCAAGCGUUAUCCGGAAUUAUUGGGCGUAAAGCGCAUGUAGGCGGCUCUUUAAGUCUGAUGUGAAAGCCU
rnacentral:rRNA from 1 species